UCAAUUAUUUAUAGCCUCUGGCUAUAGGAAAUUGUUAGUGGCAGACGGGUGAGUAAUGCGUAGGAAUCUACCUAGUAGUACGGAAUAGCCAUUAGAAAUGGUGGGUAAUACUGUAUAAUCCCCGAGGGGGAAAGAUUUAUCGCUAUUAGAUGAGCCUACGUUAGAUUAGCUAGUUGGUGAGGUAAUGGCUUACCAAGGCUAUGAUCUAUAGCUGGUCUGAGAGGACGAUCAGCCACACUGGAACUGAGAUACGGUCCAGACUCCUACGGGAGGCAGCAGUGGGGAAUAUUGGACAAUGGGCGAAAGCCUGAUCCAGCUAUGCCGCGUGAGUGAAGAAGGCCUUCGGGUUGUAAAACUCUUUCAAUAGGGAAGAUAUAUGGCGGUACCUAUAAA
rnacentral:rRNA from 1 species